AUCGAUCACCCGAGAUCCAAACUCUGAAGGUAUAUCGGGUUUGGACUCAUUGAUGCUAGAUGCAUUCGAUGAAAUAAAAAUAAGGAGGAUGAGAUUAGAUCAACUUGGAUAAGCUUCUGGAGCAACGGAUAAUGUGGUUGUACGAACGGAUAAUGUGGUUGUAGCAUAUUCAUUUUGCGAACGAUAUUUCGAUAUUAACUAUUCACGGAUUUCUGGUAUUUAUAUAUCAGCUAAAAGGGUGUAAUUUCCUGAACAAACGUGAUUUUAUAUCAUUGUCCUUCAAUUUUUCAAUGAAGAAUAAAAAUCGCACUAAAUCGCAUGAAUGACUGUUGUUACAUGGGCGAACUGUUAUUGUAGCGAUUUCGAGCAGAUUUCGAACUGUUUUAAAUCGGAAUUUUAAAACCGAAGGAUAACGAUAGAAAAUAUUUAAAAAUCAUGAUUUUAUUUGAAUGUGUGAAUGAACCGAAAAAGAGCCACGGUUUUUUGCGCGCCAGAACUGAUGGAUUCGCUCGAACCCGAAGUUUACCGAGAAAAUACGAACUGUCAACGCUCGUGAAUCAUUAUGAACCAUGAUCUGUUCAUAUGAGUUUGUUCGGAACGGUGAGUGAGCGGUUCAGAGCCGCUUUUGCAAAAAAGCCGUUUCGCACACCCCUAUGUGAAGUCUUGUUCUUCGGCCUGAAUAACACAGGUAUACAUUUUGCCAAAACCCGUCGACAUGUUGAGCCGGGGUGCGAAUGAAAUAGCUUGUCCCCGGGUCGUUUCACACCUCCUGUUUUACUGGUCUUAUUUCGGAAAAUGCACACGAAAAAGCAGGUCUUCUUCACACAGAGUUCUAUUCCACAAAAUCAAUAUGCGUCGAAGCGAAACUAAUUUAGAGCACUUUUAUAUUAAAUUGAAAUGUCUUACUUAUAAAACAUACUUUCCUGAAAAGUUAUAGAAAUGAUGUAGAAACAUGUUUUAUUUGUGAGAAAUACAUAAACACGCUGGGGUUAAUGUAAAAUAUGUUGUUUUUAAUCAUUUUGCCGGUAACCUUUUUGCACUUUUCGUUUUUCUCUUGUACUCUUAUAGCGCUUUUAAAUAGAGUCGCUUACGUUUCAUACAGUAACAAAAGUCAUGAGCUAUGAAAAUGACUAAGAUUAUGCUCCAACUAUUAGAAAUAUAGCAUUAUUAUAUAUUUUAUUUUGACAUAUUGUCGCAAUUUUUCACAAUAAAUCUAAAUUAAUAUCAAUUUCUAGUGUGUUUCAAUUGGAAAUUCACUCUCCAACCAAAAAAAUCAAAUAUAAAACAACAUAAAACGAGAAAUUUCCAAAAAUGUUCCGAAUUCCAUACAAAACGCGAAAUUUUUCAUAACGAGAUUUGUUUGUGUGCGUGGAUAGACAAAAAUGUAGCAUACCUUGUAGAACUGUCAUCAUACUUGGCAGCGAUACUAUGUAAAUCGCAGAUUCUAAAGCAAAGCAAAGCCUUGCUACUACAUUCUAAAUCGGAACUCGACAUUCUGUUAUACACCGACUUCGCAUCCAACUGUUUGAGUGUACAGAACAAUUGCGGGGCUAGCACUACGAUCCUACUGACAGUGUCAGUCUGACACUAACAGUCUCUUCCGAGCCGUAGGCUAGCAUCGUACCUCGAGACCAUCUGGGACGGUUCGAGAUCGCAGAUUCUAUAAGCAUUCGAAUCCUAAUCACUUUUCGUGACGGACGCAAUUUAAAUGUUCUUUUUAUUCCCGUACCUUUCAGUAGUAAAAAUUUGCAAAUUUCCAGAUCGACUAUAUUAUUCGUACUCCUACGUCAAAAGUGUAAUAUAAAACAUCUUUCAAAUGCUUGUGAUAACCAUUAUUGCUGGGAAACUUGAGAGAAUUUAAAAGUAAUAAUAUAAAAUAAACACAUAACCGCAUUCAAAGAGUGCACCUGUAGUGUUUUCGCAUGGCAGAUUUAUACCAGUGUGUAUGACAGAUUUCAAUAAAAGAGUUAUAAAUUCGAUUUAUUUUCCGUGUAAAAUGCGUUCUUUCCACCACAAGGGAGCGCUACAAAAUUCACUGAGCACUCAGCAGUUUUCGAAUCACAGAUGACCUUCCGUUCUGUGGGAGCCAAGCAGCACGACCAAGUUGAGCUCGUUCACUUACAGUUUUGGUCCACAAAAAGACGCGGCCUAAACAGCAGAACAAGCUUAUACUGAAGCAUCAUAUCAUUAAGAACAUCAGUAAUGGCAAACGUACCGAUGGAACUUGCGUCAGGCCGCCCUGCGUGGUGUUAUUUUCAUGCGAUCUCAGCGACCGGUCACGGCUUAUAGGGGCAGGACUGGUGGUGCUGUCUGAAGUUUAAUCAUGCACUCU